CGUAGGCCGUCGUGUCGGAGACGGGGCUCACAGCCGGCGCCGUGAAGGUGAGAAAGCAGAGCCGUGGCUCGGGAUGGUUCUGUGCCCCUGAUCGGUGGCUCAGGAACCCUGCUUUCCGGCAGGCAGCGGUAUAGGCGGAAGUAAAUAACAAGGCGGAGCUGCCUCCCACCUCUGGAUAAGGACUGUUGAAUCGCCAUUGUCGCCUGUGCAGAUCUGCGGUGGAGCGAAACCAGGCGGCGCUUUGUCGGGAUGGUGUUCUUGCAGCAAACCGAUUAGGAGCACUGCGGUGAUGGAAGAAGUGAACGACAGCCAGCUUCCGAUGGAGCCGCUUCACUACCCGGCGAUGGCGACUGAAGCUGAGCAGCUCCCGCCCAUGGCGACUGGUAGCGUUCAGGGGCAGAUCUGUGCGGCCGAGGGGGGAGCCAUAGGCGACGGGGAAGCCGAGCCGCAGGCAUCUGAACAAUCAAUUGGACAGAUUGAUCCUGAGACUCCAGGCUGGACUCGCAGGGUUAGAAUUGGAGCAGCUGCACCCGGAAGGGCACCUUGCCGUGGGCGAAUCAGCGCCCUUGAGAAGGCGAUACGGGGGUUUGCUGAUCAACCAGGGGACAUGGUAAUUGUCCCAGCACUUGGUACAAGCUUCGAUACACUCGGGGAGGCAUAUGACUUUUACAAUCUCUACUCGCGGGAGAAGGGUUUUGGAAUGUGGGGAGUACAAAGUGCAAGCAAGAAAUUGUUUGUGGCUGUGCGGGAAAAGCUGGAGUGGAGAACACUAGAGCUUGCCGAUGCGAGUGCCCUGCACUGAUAAUGCUGCUCCGUUCAAAGGACAAUGGUUGGUACAUAGCUGAGCAUCAUGAGCAUCACAGCCACUCAUUGUCUACGACAUAUGGGCAGACAAUACACUGGCCUUCACACGAGCACAUCGACAUUGACAAAAGAGACUUGGUUGAGCAAUUGCGUCAGAACAAUGUGAAUCUAGCCAAAGUAUAUAGCAUCGUCGGAAGGGUUUUUUCGGCUCGAUGGAGAAGGUGCCUUUCACAAAACGAGCUCUGAAGAAUUUGUGUGCUAAAAUCAGUAGAGAGCAAGCAGAAGAUGACGCGAGGAAAACUACGAGGUUUUUGCAGAACUCGGCUCAAGAUAUCCACACUUCACCUAUCGUGUACAAGCGGAACAAAAAGCGUGAAGUAGGUGCGCCAUGCGUUGUAGGACGGCGAGUCGAGGUCGAGGAUGACGGGCACAUGAUCCUUGAUGUGGAGCUCAUUGAGGCGAUCCGAGGUGAACAUGGCGCCGGUAAAGGAGCCGGCGUCGGAGGGUUCGACCUUGGAACGAGACAUGGUGGGGGAUGGGCGUGGCGCGGUUAGGGUUUGGGAGGUGGUGGAGGGAGAAGAUGGCAGCGGCGUAAGGCGGCGCUGCGUGGGAGGGGUAGGGAGGGUGGCGGCUGCGAGGAGGGGGCAGCGGCGGCUUAGGGUUUAGGAGGGGUGUGGCGGCGGCUACGGGAGAGUAGCGGCGACGGCGGGAUUGUGUGAGUUGCGGGGGCUACGGCGGCGGGAGGGAGAGUGCGGCGGCGGCCUAGGGUUGAGGAGGCGCGGUGGCGGCUACAGGGAGGUGCAGCGGCGGCGUCGUAGGGCGGAAGCGAUUGAGAUCGUAGGGUAAACUGAUACCAUGUGGAAAGGUGUAGGAUGCAACUCAUUGUAUUCCAUGGAGUAGGUUACAAUAUAUACACAGGAUGUCUUGCAUGACAAGGAAACUAAUCCUACCAUAUCUCUAGGAGUCAACUAUACAAGGCUAGAGAAGAUAGAAUUAGUAAUACAAGAUAUGUCACGUUCAACAAAAACCAUUUCUGUAACUGGCUGGACUUCAGCGCUGCAAACUUUAGAUCAAAUCUAUUGCCAAGGAUCUUUGCGUAUACUUUUACAAUGGUGGAGAAAUUAAUCCAAAUGUUAAGAGGAGGGUUGCGGUAAGCUCCACUACUAGUGUGUUUAAAAUAAAAAAAUGAGUGGUUGGGUGAGAUACUAACAUGGGUUGAGGACUGGAUGUGAAAAUGCAGGCUAGGCCCGAGGGUUACAUGGAAUCGUGACACUGGGAAUUUCAUCCUCUGAUGGCGGAUAAUGCAUACACAACGAGUGUGUUCGCGUUAGAUGUACAUUAAUCUCAAAUUGUCUAAUUCCGGUACUAACUAAUUGUAAUCUUGAUACCAUCUGUUUUGGAGUCCCCCAGCUGAUAUUCCUUGGACUGACAUGGCGAACAUUGAUAGUGUUGCAAACAUGGCAAAUACGGAGCCCGAGCAACAGCCCCACGGCACACGGGUGAUAUGGAUGUGGUGCCAAAUGGUGAACAAGAGACUGUCAAAACGGAACCUGAGCAAACUAUGUUAGCAACCCAAGCCAAUAAUGUGAUGCAAAGUGGAGCCUGAGCGUGGAGUUUACAUACAUGUAAAUGGGGAGGACGCACUCCGUCGCAGGCCAAGAUUUCAGAUUGCUCCGAACGAUAAGGGGAAGGGUCCAAUGGAGGAAAGUGAUCUAGAGUCUUCGGACAGUGAGAAAAGACAUGCCAACCAGGCUUGCUAGGAUAUGUAGGAAGAUGCAAGAGUGUUAAGGCAGCAUGAAAGAGUCCAAUAAAUGAAUGGUAAACCGGCAACAAGGGCUUCCUCCAGUCACAAGUGUGCGAGGUGCGUGUCCGAUGUGGAGCAGAAAGGGUUGAAGGUUUCGAUGCCCCAAUUGCAGCAGUGAGACCUGAAGAUUUACAUGUAGUUGAACCUUACAUCAUUCAUAUGCUCACACAUGCAGCAAGUCCAGCAGCAGGUAUGGUGAAAAAGAGAAAGAGAAUUAGUUUGCACCGAAUACACGAGGCACAUCAUGAUUCUAGUGUGUGUGGUACAAAAAUAUAUAUGUACAUGCUGAGCUGAUACUCCCUCAAAUGUAAAUGAUGAACUGCAGGAGUUGUAGCUGGUAAGUACACAUGAACCUGAGCGUGCAGACAGCAGGAAAAUAAUAAUAAUAAUAACAAAUGCUGUCGUGGGAA